rnacentral:rRNA from 1 species
CUACGGGGGGCUGCAGUGGGGAAUAUUGCGCAAUGGGGGCAACCCUGACGCAGCAACGCCGCGUGAUUGAAGAAGGCCUUCGGGUUGUAAAUAUCUUUAAUUGGGGACGAAACAAAUGACGGUACCCAAAGAAUCAGCUCCGGCUAACUACGUGCCAGCAGCCGCGGUAAUACGUAGGGAGCAAGCGUUAUCCGGAUUUACUGGGUGUAAAGGGCGAGUAGGCGGGCUGGCAAGUUGGGAGUGAAAUCCCGGGGCUUAACCCCGGAACUGCUUUCAACACUGCUGGUCUUGAGUGAUGGAGAGGCAGGCGGAAUUCCGGGUGUAGCGGUGAAAUGCGUAGAUAUACGGAGGAACACCAGUGGCGAAGGCGGCAAUCUGGCUGGAAACUGACGCUGAGGUGCGAAAGCGUGGGUAGCAAACAGGAUUAGAUACCCGAGUAGUC